rnacentral:rRNA from 1 species
AUGUGGAUUGAUGAGCUCAAAGUCUCUGUUCAUACUGUUGCUUUCCACUAUAUUUUAGCUAAUGUAGUCCACGUAGCUUCUGGGGUCAGCUUUUGCUUAAUUUGUAUAUAUGGUGACCCGUAUCAUAGGCAGACUAGUGCCAUAUGGGAGCAAGUUUCAACUUUUGUAUAUGAUAACCUAGGCAAGCCCAUGGUAUGUAUGGGGGACUUGAAUGAUAUCCUAUAUGAUGUUGACGGUUGUAAUGGUAAUAUCAACUACUAUCGUAUGCAUGCCUUUCGGUCUCUUGUAAAAAAUUGUGGUUUGUUUGAUAUUGGUUAUAGUGGCCGUGCGUAUACCUGGCGUGGCAGACAAAAUACUUCUAAACCUAUUCAUAGGCGUCUUGAUCGUUGUCUGGUUAACUCUGAUUGGUGCUCUUAUUAUCCUAAUACUAAAGUGCUUAAUCUUCCUAUUAUUCUUAGUGAUCAUGCUCCUAUUUUAAUAUCUACCGAGGGUCAAUUUGUGAAGCCUAGACAAACUUUCAAAUUUGAAAACUAG